rnacentral:lncRNA from 1 species
AGGGCAUAAGAAAGACUGAGCCCAGAAAAACAAAAAGGAGGCCUUCCAUGGAAAGAGGAAUUGUCCAGAAGCCAAGAUGAGUGUGAGUAGAGUCUGGAUGCUCUGAGAAUCGGAAAAAAAUCAGAUCUACUAAUUAAAGCUGCCAGGUGACCCAUGAAAUCAUGGCACUUGUUUGGGGGAGGUUCCCGGUCUAACUGAAGAAAAUAAUGUUUCCGUCAGAUUUUGGACUAGAGAAUACAUAGAAAAUUGUCCAGUUUGGUAUGAGAAAAGAAUGGCGCAUUUACACAAAGAUAAAUACUCAAUGGUCAAAAGAAAGUUGAGAUACCUACAGUUGCCUUGAUUCUUCACAACCUUCCUGACAGUAAAUCCUUCUUUAAGGUGGUCAAAAGAAACCCUGUUUCUUGCAAUCAAGAGAGUCUUCUAACUCCUUGCUGCUCAGCGUGGUCUACAGACAACAGCAUUGGCAUCAAGCACUGGAAGCUUGUUAGAAUGUAUAGUAUGUCAGGUUCCACCCCAGACCCACUGAAUCCGAAUGUGCACUUCAGCAAAGUGGCCAGUGGCAGGACAGGUAACAAGAGAAUGGAUGCCUGGAAGCCAUGAAUGGCAGGAGAGCAACUGAAAACAGCUGCCCUUCAGCCCCAUUGCCUGAUCCCGCCACUUGACUGUGGAAGAAUUAAGGGCAAGUUUCAGAAUCUCCCCGCACCUGGAUGCCAGGAAACCAAUCAUCGUUCAACCACUUUGUUGGGCCAUUAACAGAGCCUCGAACUCUAUCUUUGUCCAAAUGAAAGCACAAAGAAAAUAAUUUUUCAUCUGAAGAAUCACCUUAAAAUCCCCAAAUGGAAAGUAAGAGGAGCAGUAAACCUCUUAAACUCCAGUUUGGCGGCUCUAACACAGGGCAUUAAGGUAAGAAGGUUAUUUAUGGCAGAAGAAGAAGGGAGAGAGAAUUCCAAAGUGAACAGGGGAAGGACAAAGAGAGGAUGGAGCCCAGCUUGCAUCAUCCCCUUUGCCAUUCAAACGGGAAGGGAAACAAUUUUAAUCAGGAACCAGGUGCCACAAAUAGUCAAAGGCAAAAGCUUCACUUGUAACUCAGGCACUCAGAUAAGUCAGGCAGAGUGUAUCUUUCCCCGCAAACAAAAGAUGAUUACCCCAGGAUGCCCCUCAACGUUGCCCGCAAGAAGAUGGCAGCGGCCGUUUGCUCUGGGGAUCCCUGCAGGCUGCAUCCUUCUGCGCACCCUGCCCUGUGCCCCUUCAUCCCUGUUCAGCCUUUCUCUGCAAUGAUGUGCCCCCUGAGGCUUCAGAUGGGCACUAUUCUUUCCUGUCCCCCAGGAGGGGAGUAACAGGUGAAUCUUGCUGGGAUCAUUUUGAAUUUCCAGGGCUUCCCUCCGGAUUAAUCCCCUCACAGGCACGGAAGGCAGCCUGGUGGACUCCGCUUGCCUGCGCCCCAGUCGGGCAGCCCUAUCUUUCCAAUUCGCAGCCAGGCCAGCCCUUUCUGCUGCACAGAGAUCUACUAGACCCCAAGUGGGGGGAAUCUGGGCGGCUUGAGAGGCCAAUGAUGGCCGUAAUCAUUUUCAAAGGGCCAAUAUCUAGAGGUGGGAAACUGGCCGCCAUAACCUGCACUCCCCACUGUGGUGAGGACAACCCCUCCACCGGGCCCCUUUACUUGGCAAGGCAUUUACAGGUUGUAAGGAAACUACAAGAGAUAGCGCAACAUCUCAGAACUGUCAGCACCUGGGUGAGCAUCUCCAGUCUGAACACGCGAGGGGAAGAAGCAGCUACUGGAGUCUGAAGGGAGAUGACUAUGUGAAGAGGACCACUUGACAGGAGAUGCAAAGCUUCAGUGGAUGGGCACAGUGAGCCCGAGGGUGACUCCACUGGGGUCACCAAGGAAUGAAGUGUGAGAAUGAAUACGCUGACCUCACUCUCCUCCUUUUUCCUCAUCUCCUGUUGGUGCUCCUCAUUGGCCCAACCCAAUGGGAAGCCAGCGGUAAACCUAGACCAAUGAUGUAGUCCUUAUAGGUUAGCCUCCUAAGGCUUAGGGCGGGGUGGAGAGGAUGGGAAGUAAAUCUAGAGGGGCAAAUGAGAGCUAUCCAGCAUGGGUAGGCCUGAAUUGAAGUACAUGUCUAUCGAUUGACUGUUGACCUUAGGCGGGUUACUUAAUUCUCUUAGCCCUGCCUCUGAGGAGACAGUCACUUACGUAUCAUUUCUGCUCCACAGCCCCAAUAUCCAUUCCAGCUCUAAGAAAAGGAGAUUGCUAGUGUUGUGAUUUUUCAUAAACAAGACUUUAAAUGGCAUUCACAUUUAUACUAUUUACCAAAAUGUUUUAAGUCAAUAAUGUACACCUAUAUUACAUUUUAAUGCUUAUUUUAUAUUUGUUACUGUGACUACAAAACUUUUAGCAGCUUUAUUGAGAUACAAUUGACAUGUAAUAAACUACGCAUACUUAAAGUACACAAUGUGUUAAGAUUUGACAUAGGUAGAUACCACAUCAAGAUAAUAAACAUGUUCCAUCAUCCCUAAAAUUUUCUCAUGCAUCAUUAUAAUCCCUCCCUCCCCCAUUCCCCAUGUACCCUUCACCAUCCAUCCAUAAGCUUUCUAUCACUAUAUAUUAGGUUGUAUUUAUUAGAUUUUUAUAUACACAGAGUCAUAUGUACUCUUUUUAAACCUGGUUUCCUUUACACAGCAUAAUUACUUUGUGAUUUAUCCAUGUUGUAGCAUGUAUUGAUAUUUUAUUCCUUAUAAUGCUAGGUAGUAUUCCAUUCUGUGAAUAUACCAGUUUAUCUAUUUGUUUAUAUGUCCAGAUGUUGACAGAUAUUUGAGGUUUCUUCCAGUUUUUUACUCUUAUGAAUAAAGUUACUCUGAAUAUUCAUAGGGAGAUAUAUGUUUUCAUAUAUCUUGGGUGAGCAGAAUGGCUG